GCAAAGAAAACAAAGCAUCAGCAUAGAAUAAAAGCAUCAGAUAAUUAGCUAAUUUAAUUACUAAUUAACUAUGAGGAACCCAUCUUCUUCAACUUCACCCAGCGCCAAGAAGACAACUGCUACACCAUGCUGUAGCAAAGUGGGAAUAAAGAGGGGCCCUUGGACUCCUGAGGAGGACGAGCUCCUGUCUAACUACAUCAAGAAGGAAGGCGCUGAACGUUGGCGUACGCUGCCAAAGAGGGCCGGGCUGCUUCGAUGUGGAAAGAGUUGUCGCCUCCGAUGGAUGAAUUAUCUCCGGCCGUCUGUUAAGAGAGGGCGUAUUGCUCCAGAUGAAGAAGAUCUUAUUCUUAGGCUGCAUAGGUUGCUCGGUAACAGGUGGUCUUUGAUAGCUGGAAGGAUUCCAGGACGCACGGAUAAUGAAAUCAAGAACUACUGG
rnacentral:misc_RNA from 1 species